rnacentral:ncRNA from 1 species
CUCUUGGUUCCCGCAAGGGAUUAAUAGGGAAGACCAGUGUGAGUCUGGCGCUAUCCCCGUAGCUGUGAGCUUUUAGUAGGUUUUCAUCAAGAUGCCACUGAAUCAUGGGUUUAACACCCAAAGAUUUGGGAAGGCGAUGAAUACGAAGCAAGCCAGAAGACCUGCCAGGUGUGUA